rnacentral:rRNA from 1 species
AUGUUAGAAGGUGCUAAAUCAAUAGGUGCUGGAGCUGCUACAAUUUCUUUAGCCGGAGCUGCUGUCGGUAUUGGAAACGUCCUCAGUUCUUUGAUUCAUUCCGUGGCAUGAAAUCCAUCAUUGGCUAAACAAUCAUUUGGUUAUGCCAUUUUGGGCUUUGCUCGCACCGAAGCUAUUGCAUUGUUUGCCCCAAUGAUGGCUUUCUGA